UUAAUUUUUAUAAAUAAUAAAAAAGGGGAUAUUUUUAAACAAAAAAGCCUAUUUUCUUAAAUAUAUUAUAAAAUAUAAUAAAACGGCCGGUCGAAGACAUGAUUUGACAGGGCUAUGAUCGGUAAGACCGUGAUUAGAUGGUAAGAGGUGACAAGAUUUACCACAUAAAUAUAGAGGUGAAAACAAAAAACAAAAAAAACACACUGCAAAAUUUAAAGAUGGAGCAAUAAAAGGCAUCACGACGAGGCUAAAUCAAUGCCGACAAGCUGCACGUUCAUGUCCGUGUUUGCCUGGGCUCAUAAUUGUGCAAAAGCAGGGCAUGAAGUGAAAAAAGCCAAGCAAAUUAUCAACAAAC
rnacentral:lncRNA from 1 species